CAUCCAUCCCUGGGUGGAUUUGUCAGCCAGGGAUGGGAGGCAUCAGCACCCAUCCACCUCUCUGGGCAGCACCAGAAGAGGAGGCUCCUGGCCAACAGCUGAGUUUCAUCCAUGGCAACCCAACAACGCUUGGCUGAAGGGCUCAGAAACCCACUGGGUCAAAAUGUGGGGCUCAGAUCAAAACAAGGGACACUUCCUUCUGGGCUCCUCCAGCUCCUUUCAGCUGCUCCCAGAGUCUCAUUAAUUUGAGAGCUUCUCUCCUAUAAACACCUCGAUACAUCAGAUGUGUGCUUGGAACUCCUCCUCAUCUCUGCUCCCAGGAAAUCCCUUGCCUGUGCACUCUUCCAUCCCAUCCAGUUAUGCUGAAUUCACCUUCCAGCUAGGGCUGAUGUAGAAAGUUCUGAGGCAGACUGGCAGUGCUGUGUGGAAGAGACGGCUCUGGGAGGAUCCCUCACAACACUCUGAAGUUCCUCUCUUUUAGAAGGAAUAUAAAGAGGCCUUGAAUUUGCUUGAAAAGAUCCUUUCCUUUAAUUCCAAAGAAGCAAGAGGUGACUGUGACUGUUUCCAGCACCUGCAACAGGGACUGAGAGGAAGCCACUGCAUGCAAUGGUUGUCCCCAACUCAAUUUCCAGCCUGGAAAUUGCAGAAUGCACCUACAAAUCAUUAUGCAGUAAUCUGCUGAAUCCUUGAUGUCCCAUUCCUCUGGAGCUUUCCCACUCAACUCUGCUACCACUCAUAACCUACAAAAAAUUCUGUGUUCCAGCCCUUGCUCCUGCUUUCCUCGCUACCAGGUGUGAUUUUUAAUGCAGCCAAGGUGUCGUUGAGGCCAGGAUGUCAUUGCUGCCCUCGAACAGUGCCUGAAGAAUCUCAAUUACCAACAGCAGACAAAGUUCAAGCCUGGCUGCCAUCCAAGUAAUUCACCUGGUUCAAUGUGUACGUCAGAGACUGAAAAAAAUAUGCUGUAAUUAUUGUGUUAUUAAAGCACAAUGGUUUGAUUUUA